CUCCCCAAACCCAUGCAGUUAUCCGGCCCGUAUCUGAGACAUCCUUCGUCUUCGGGUCCUGCCGUUUGUGCUACGGCCGCCCGAAGUCCCGUCGCUCUUUUUUUGGCUGUGUCUGACGGAGGCUGGUUGCCGAGAGUCCCGGAGCCGGGGCACACCGGGCUUCAGAGGCCAGGGUUUGGGGACUGCGAGGGCACCUGUUGCGUUUUUCGGCUUCGUGGAGCCUAGUGGAUUGGGCGGGGAGGGGUGAGACCCAUCUCACCUGCGUUCUCAGUUUGGGAUAGAUGGCUUGGAGGUGAUGGCAACCCAAGAGGUGAAGUGGGUGCCGAGGGCGCCCGGGCGAGUUGUGGCGAGUGAAGCUGUUCCCAUGUAAUGACACAGUAACUAUCCGGACCAGGAAGUUCAUGACUAACCGACUACUUCAGCGGAAACAGAUGGUCAUUGAUGUUCUUCACCCUGGAAAGGCAACGGUACCUAAGA